rnacentral:rRNA from 2 species
GCAGUCGAGCGAACAGAUGAGAAGCUUGCUUCUCUGAUGUUAGCGGCGGACGGGUGAGUAACACGUGGGUAACCUACCUAUAAGACUGGGAUAACUCCGGGAAACCGGGGCUAAUACCGGAUAAUAUUUUGAACCGCAUGGUUCAAUAGUGAAAGACGGUUUCGGCUGUCACUUAUAGAUGGACCCGCGCCGUAUUAGCUAGUUGGUAAGGUAACGGCUUACCAAGGCGACGAUACGUAGCCGACCUGAGAGGGUGAUCGGCCACACUGGAACUGAGACACGGUCCAGACUCCUACGGGAGGCAGCAGUAGGGAAUCUUCCGCAAUGGGCGAAAGCCUGACGGAGCAACGCCGCGUGAGUGAUGAAGGUCUUCGGAUCGUAAAACUCUGUUGUUAGGGAAGAACAAAUUUGUUAGUAACUGAACAAGUCUUGACGGUACCUAACCAGA